rnacentral:rRNA from 1 species
AUUGAACGCUGGCGGCAUGCCUUACACAUGCAAGUCGAACGGUAACAGGUCUUCGGAUGCUGACGAGUGGCGAACGGGUGAGUAAUACAUCGGAACGUGCCCGAUCGUGGGGGAUAACGAAGCGAAAGCUUUGCUAAUACCGCAUAAGAUCUACGGAUGAAAGCAGGGGACCGCAAGGCCUUGCGCGAACGGAGCGGCCGAUGGCAGAUUAGGUAGUUGUUGGGAUAAAAGCUUACCAAGCCGACGAUCUGUAGCUGGUCUGAGAGGACGACCAGCCACACUGGGACUGAGACACGGCCCAGACUCCUACGGGAGGCAGCAGUGGGGAAUUUUGGACAAUGGGCGAAAGCCUGAUCCAGCCAUGCCGCGUGCAGGAUGAAGGCCUUCGGGUUGUAAACUGCUUUUGUACGGAACGAAAAGACUCUGGUUAAUACCUGGGGUCCAUGACGGUACCGUAAGAAUAAGCACCGGCUAACUACGUG